AUGUCCACUCUCUUCCUCUCCCUCCCAACCUUCCCUUCCAAAUUCCACCACCAAAACGACGCCGUUUCCCUAACCGUCCGCUCCUCCGCCGUCUCCGCCCCCGAGAAGCGCGCCCGCCGCAAGAAGCGCCAGCCCAAGCGCGGCGACGAUGACUCAUCCGCUUCCUCCUCCUCCUUACUCUCCUCCUCCUCCUCCGCCGCCGAGAAGAGCCUUCGCUUCACCUUCAUGGAGGAGCUCAUGUCCCGCGCCCGCAACCGCGACGCCGUCGGAGUCUCCGACGUCAUCUACGACAUGGUCGCCGCCGGCCUCAGCCCCGGCCCUCGCUCCUUCCACGGAUUGGUCGUCGCUCACGCCUUGAACGGCGACGCCGAGUCCGCGAUGCAAACGUUGAGAAGGGAGCUGAGCUCGGGGCUUCGUCCUCUCCACGAAACCUUCAUCGCAUUGAUCAGGCUGUUCGCCUCGAAAGGUCGAGCUACAAGAGGAUUAGAGAUCCUUGCAGCAAUGGAGAAGUUAAAUUACGACAUUCGCCAAGCUUGGAUACUUCUAGUUGAGGUGCUUGUUCGGACACGCUAUUUGGAUGAUGCCAAUAGAGUGUUCUUGAAGGGUGCGAAAGGUGGGCUGAGAGCUACGGAUGAGGUCUAUGAUCUUCUUAUAGUGGAAGACUGUAAAGUCGGGGAUCAUUCAAAUGCGUUGGAUAUUGCUUAUGAGAUGGAGGCGGCUGGGCGGAUGGCAACAACUUUUCAUUUCAAUUGCCUUCUUAGUGUGCAGGCUACUUGUGGAAUUCCAGAAAUAGCUUUUGCCACAUUUGAGAACAUGCAGUAUGGAGAAGAAUACAUGAAACCUGAUACAGAGACAUAUAAUUGGGUGAUUCAAGCAUAUACCAGAGCUGAAUCUUAUGAUAGAGUGCAAGAUGUUGCUGAGUUGCUUGGGAUGAUGGUUGAAGACCACAAGCGUUUGCAGCCUAAUGUGAAAACCUAUGCGUUGUUGAUUGAGUGUUUUACCAAAUAUUGUGUUGUACGAGAGGCAAUACGACAUUUUCGUGCUCUCAGAUUUUACGAAGGAGGGACAAAAGUUUUACAUAAUGAGGGAAACUUUGGGGACCCCUUAUCUUUGUAUCUUCGAGCUUUAUGUCGAGAAGGAAGAGUGGUCGAGUUGCUAGAAGCUUUAGAAGCGAUGGCCCAAGACAACCAGCCUAUUCCACCGCGAGCUAUGAUUUUGAGCAGAAAGUAUCGGACACUAGUGAGCUCAUGGAUUGAACCUUUGCAAGAGGAAGCUGAACUUGGACAUGAGAUUGAUUACAUGGCCAGGUAUAUUGCAGAGGGAGGGCUUACUGGUGAGCGCAAGCGGUGGGUGCCUAGAAGAGGGAAAACUCCACUAGAUCCUGAUGCUGAUGGUUUUAUAUAUUCGAAUCCUAUGGAAACCUCAUUCAAACAACGGUGUCUUGAGGAUUGGAAGAUACACAACAGAAAGCUCUUGAGAACUUUACAGAAUGAAGGACUUGCAGCUUUAGGGGAUGCAUCUGAAUCAGAUUAUAUUAGAGUAGAAGAAAGGUUAAAAAAGAUCAUAAAGGGUCCUGACCAGAGUGUUUUAAAGCCCAAGGCUGCUAGUAAGAUGGUAGUAUCUGAACUGAAGGAAGAACUUGAAGCUCAAGAUCUGCCAACUGAUGGAACUAGAAAUGUGCUUUACCAGCGUGUCCAAAAAGCAAGGAGAAUAAAUCGCUCCCGUGGUCGACCACUCUGGGUUCCUCCAGUGGAGGAGGAGGAGGAAGAGGUUGAUGAAGAGCUGGAUGAACUAAUCUCAAGGAUCAAACUGGAAGAAGGCAAUACAGAGUUCUGGAAACGCCGUUUUCUUGGAGAAGGCUUCAGCAGCGAUCAGGAAAAGCAAUUAGAUAGUGGCCAACUUGAAUCUCUAGAUGUCACAGAUAGUGUCAAUGUAGUAGAUGUGGCAAAAGAGGUUGAAGAUGAUGAGGCUGAAGAGGAGGAGGAGGAGGAGGAAGUAGAGGUGGAGGUAGAAGUAGAACAAGCUGAGAGACAAGAUGUAGAAAGGGUGAAGCAAAAGGAAAAUGAAGCUAAGAAACCUCUUCAAAUGAUUGGAGUACAGCUGCUAAAAGAUUCUGACCAGACGAGUACAUCAUCUAAAAAGGCAAGGAGAAGAGCUUCUCGGAGGAUAUCGGCUGAGGAUGAUGCUGAUGAUGACUGGUUUCCUGAGGAUAUGUUUGAGGCAUUUAAGGAGCUGAGGAAAAGGAGAAUCUUUGAUGUAUCAGACAUGUAUACAAUCGCCGAUGCUUGGGGUUGGACAUGGGAGAGAGAAUACAAGAAUAAACCUCCGAGAAGAUGGUCACAAGAAUGGGAAGUUGAGAUGGCAAUUAAAGUUAUGCUGAAGGCAAGUUCUAAUAUUUGUUUCGCAUUACCUGUGCUUUACAAAGUUCUGAUUAUUUCUAAAUUCAAAGUCAUUCUAGAAUAGUAUUUGAAGAGACUGGACUGAUUUCAGGUGAUGGAAUUGGGGGGAACACCCACAAUUGGAGAUUGUGCCAUGAUUUUGCGUGCAGCCAUAAAGGCUCCUCUUCCUUCAGUUUUUUUGAAGAUCUUACAGACUACACAUAGUCUUGGCUAUGUAUUCGGCAGUCCUCUCUAUGAUGAAAUUAUCUCGCUAUGCCUCGAUCUUGGAGAACUGGAUGCAGCCGUAGCCAUUGUCGCAGACUUGGAGACCACUGGGAUCACAGUCCCAGAUGAGACCUUGGACAGGGUGAUUUCUGCUACACAGACAACAGGAGCCGGAUCCGAAAAAGUUGAUUGGUUUCUCAAGUUGUUUAGAGGGCCAUAUCUUAAUACUUUCAUGGUGGAUUUCUGCAUGGACAAUGUGUCUGCUCCUGUUAUCGAUAGUUGGGUCAGUUUCGCAGUUUCGAUGGAAGCUGAAUCAAUUGAGCUAGACUUCAACACUAGUAAGAGUCAAAACCUGUACAAGUUCCCUUUUCGUCUUCUUCCAAAACCCAAACCCUUUACUCGAUUGAAGCAUCUCAAGUUGUCAGCAUGCCAUCUGUUACUGACACCCCAAUCUCCUUUCAAUUGCUUGAAGACCCUUGAACUGAAAAAUCUUGCUUUAGACCAAACUAGUCUAGACGCCGUGAUUUCCUCUUGUGUGGACCUUGAGUGGCUGACAUUGGAUGAAUGUGAACUGCCACGGACGCUGCGUGUGUGCAGUGCCCGAUUGAGAGGCUUACGCUUCCUCUACUGUUGGGAAACUCACACUAUUGAGCUAGAUGCUGCUCAACUCCAAGCAUUUGAAUUUAGAGGUCGCUGGUUAGAGCUCUCCUUUCUGGUUGUUCCGCCUCUCGAAAGAGUCCAUUUCGGGUCUCUAAAUAUGGCGGAAGCUUUCUUCGAUCUUCUACCAGAAGUUCGUCCCAAUUUACAGUUUCUGUCGCUGAGUUGGCUUAAAGCAAAUGCAAAGAACUGGUUGGCUCUCUUUGAUGGCUUCUUUUUGUUUUCCAUUCUUGGUCAUCAACUUGAGAUAUCGCUGGGUUUGCUGUUUACUAUUGUUGCUCUUGUUGCUGCCCUUAUGGUUUAUGAAUCUGAGGGGCUCAAUGAUGAGGGUCAAUACCUUCUAGAAAUAAAGAGUAGAAUUGUUGAUGAAUUUGGCCAUCUUAGUAGUUGGAAUUCCAGUGAUUUAACACCUUGUGGAUGGAGGGGAGUGGAUUGCAGUGAAGGAUUGUAUCCGGCGGUUUUAUCUCUUGACUUGAGUUCCAUGAAUCUUUCGGGUUCUUUAUCUCCAAGCAUUGGUAGAAUGAUUCACCUGAAUUAUCUUAACCUUUCUUUCAAUGAAAUGUCUGGGAGUAUACCUGAAGACAUUGGAAAUUGUUCCUAUUUGCAGGUUCUUAGUAUGAAUAACAAUAAGUUUGAAGGUCAGAUUCCCACAGGAUUGGGUAGACUUUCUUAUUUAGAAGUCUUGAAUGUGUGCAACAAUAGAAUAUCAGGGCCUUUCCCAGAAGAACUUGGAAACCUUUCUUCCCUGUCGCAAUUGAUUGCAUACACUAAUAAUCUCAGUGGACCACUGCCACAUUCUAUUGGCAAGCUCAAAAGAUUGAAGAUUUUCCGGGCAGGAGAGAAUUCAAUAUCAGGAAGCUUACCGUCCGAGAUUGGUGAUUGUGAAAGCUUGCAGUAUCUUGGUCUAGCUCAGAAUCAGUUAAGUGGAGAAAUUCCGAAAGAGAUUGGAAUGCUCGAGAAUUUGAGUGUUUUAAUUCUUUGGGAAAAUCUGCUUUCUGGUGUCAUUCCAAAGGAGCUUGGCAACUGUACAAAUUUGGAAAUUCUGGCCCUCUACAAGAACAAGCUUGAAGGAGAGAUACCAAGGGAAAAUAUGCUGAAUGGGACAGUUCCAAGAGAGAUUGGUAAUCUUUCUCUCGCUAAGGAGAUUGAUUUUUCUGAGAAUUUGUUGUUUGGAGAGAUACCAGUUGAGCUCAGCAAGAUAUCAGGGUUGCAAUUGCUUUACCUUUUCGAGAACCAACUCACAGGUGUUAUUCCAGAUGAGCUCACAAGCUUGACAAACCUGACAAAGCUCGACCUCUCUAUAAAUAAUCUAACUGGUUCAAUUCCAACUGGAUUCCAAUACAUGAAUGAGCUGAUCAUGCUACAGUUGUUUAACAAUAUGUUGAGUGGCAUAAUUCCUCAAGGACUUGGGGUGUAUAGCCCCCUUUGGGUGGUUGACUUGUCUGAUAACUUGCUGACAGGAAGAAUUCCUCGGCAUGUUUGCAGAAAUUCAAAUCUGAUUUUGCUAAACUUGGGGUCUAACAGGCUCACUGGUAGUAUCCCAGAUGGGGUCACAAGCUGCAAGUCAUUGGUGCAGCUUCGUCUGGUGGGAAACAACCUUACAGGGACUCUUCCAACCGAAAUGUGCAAAUUGGUUAACCUUUCUGCAGUUGAGUUGGAUCAGAACAAGUUCAGCGGUGCCAUUCCUCCAGCAAUUGGCAACUGCAGAACUUUGCAAAGACUACUGCUUGCAGACAACUACUUUACAUCUGAGUUGCCAAGAGAGAUUGGUAACCUCUCCCAGUUGGUGAUCUUCAAUAUCUCAUCAAAUUUGCUUUCUGGAAGGAUACCAACUGAGAUUUUCAAUUGUAAAAUGCUUCAACGGCUUGAUCUUAGUAGUAACAACUUUUCAGAUGUCUUGCCAAGUGAGAUAGGAGCACUUUCUCAGUUGGAGCUUCUCAGGCUUUCCGAUAACCAUUUUGCGGGGGAUAUCCCAGUUGCACUGGGAAAUCUCUUGCGUUUGACUGAGCUACAAAUGGGUGGCAACUCGUUCUCAGGGGGUAUACCAGCUGAGUUGGGUUCCCUUUCAAGUCUCCAGAUCGGAUUAAAUCUGAGUUAUAACAAUCUUUCUGGGGAGAUACCUUCUCCACUUGGAAAUCUUAUUUUACUGGAACUGCUUCUACUCAAUAACAACCAUUUGACUGGUGAAAUUCCAGGUUCUUUUGAGAACCUGUCUAGUUUACUUGGCUGCAACUUCUCAUACAAUGAGUUGAUAGGGUCUAUUCCUUCUCUACCACUCUUUCAGAAUAUGGCUGUCAGCAGCUUUAUUGGCAACAAAGGACUUUGCGGUGGACCUCUUAGUGCUUGUGAAACGACAUCUUCACCCUCUUUUCUUCCAGAUGUGCCAAACAGAAGAACCCGCUUGGGGAAGAUUAUUGCUAUUGCUGCAGCAGCCAUUGGUGGUGUUUCUCUUAUCUUAAUCAUAAUCAUUAUAUCCUUAAUGAGACGUCCGGUAGACAAUGUAGUAACUUCUGUGCAAGAAAAGUCGCUCUCUUCUCCAGUUUUGGACGUGUAUUUUUCGCCAAAGGCAGGAUUCACUUUCCAAGACUUGGUUAUGGCAACUGACAACUUCGACGAGAACUUUGCAAUUGGAAGAGGAGCUUCUGGAACUGUGUAUAAAGCCGUCUUGUUUCAUGGUGGUCAUACAGUUGCUGUCAAGAAGGUAAUAUCCAACAGGGAAGGGAACAAUGUGGAUAGUAGCUUUCAUGCAGAGAUUCUAACUUUGGGAAAUAUCAGACAUAGAAAUAUUGUGAAGCUGUAUGGUUUCUGCUACCACCAGGGUUCCAAUCUUCUGCUUUAUGAGUACAUGGCAAGGGGAAGCUUAGGAGAGUUGCUUCAUGGAAAAUCAUGUAAUCUUGACUGGCCAACAAGGUUCAACAUUGCUCUAGGGGCUGCCCAGGGUCUCUCUUAUCUGCAUCAUGAUUGCAAACCUCGGAUCUUUCACCGUGAUAUUAAGUCCAACAACAUUCUCCUUGAUGAAAAGUUUGAAGCUCGUGUUGGAGAUUUUGGGUUGGCAAAGGUGAUUGACAUGCCAUAUUCAAAGUCCAUGUCUGCAGUUGCUGGUUCUUAUGGAUACAUUGCCCCCGAGUAUGCAUACACCAUGAAGGUCACAGAAAAAUGUGACAUCUACAGCUAUGGAGUGGUCCUCCUGGAGUUGCUGACUGGCAAAACACCAGUUCAAUCGAUAGAUGAAGGAGGUGACCUGGUAACUUGGGUAAGAAACUUCAUUCUCAACAAUUCCCUGUCAUCAGGAGUCCUCGAUGCUCGAUUAAGUUUGCAUGAACAUGAAGAUGAAGCUGAAGCUGCUGCUACGGUCUCUCACAUGAUUACAGUAUUGAAAAUUGCUAUGUUGUGCACAAGCAUGUCUCCUUUUGAUCGCCCGACCAUGAGGGAAGUUGUUUCCAUGCUUAUUGGGUCGAAGGAGAGAGAAACAGUACAGUUUGCUAAUGGUUCCCCAAGUGAGAAUGAUACAAAUUCGGCUGAACCUUGAUAUUCUGAUCUAAGAAGUGUAGUCAUUUUGAUCAGUAGAUAUAUUCAUAAUUCAUCCUUGUAUAAUUUGAAAAAGUAUAGAAAACUUCAUCAGUAACGGCCUUGUACAUACCUUAUGUUCGUAUGGAUUCCAAUAUUCCCU